CUACCAUAAAGAGUGCGCUAGGGACAGCCCCUUUGAUCGCACGGCAACCUGCUUUUGCAAGGUGCCAAAGGCUGAACGAUGGGAA
rnacentral:ncRNA from 2 species